UGGGGAAUAUUGCACAAUGGGCGAAAGCCUGAUGCAGCAACGCCGCGUGAGGGACGACGGCCUUCGGGUUGUAAACCUCUUUUAGCAAGGAAGAAGCGAAAGUGACGGUACUUGCAGAAAAAGCGCCGGCUAACUACGUGCCAGCAGCCGCGGUAAUACGUAGGGCGCAAGCGUUAUCCGGAAUUAUUGGGCGUAAAGAGCUCGUAGGCGGUUUGUCGCGUCUGCUGUGAAAACCCGAGGCUCAACCUCGGGCCUGCAGUGGGUACGGGCAGACUAGAGUGCGGUAGGGGGAGAUUGGAACUCCUGGUGUAGCGGUGGAAUGCGCAGAUAUCAGGAAGAACACCGAUGGCGAAGGCAGAUCUCUGGGCCGUAAACUGACGCUGAGGNNAGCGAAAAGGGUGGGGAGCAAAACAGGCUUAGAUACCCUGGUAGUCCACCCCGUAAAACGUUGGGAACUAGUUUGUGGGGGUCCAUUCCACGGAUUGCCGUGACGCAGCUAACGCAUU
rnacentral:rRNA from 1 species